CCUGAUUGGCCUUGUCCUUUUGAAAUCUUGAGGGACAUACCCAAGUUGGUUAUAGGUGGGACUCCCUUAUAGCGUCUGGCUGACGACGUUAAACUUAGCAUUUUUUAGGAAGCAACCUAGCUUAUGUAAUAUUUUUAGUUUCUUGUCAUUUUAUAGGAAUCUCUAGAAAGAUAAUUAACCAAGUUGAAUCUCUAUAGUGGAGUGGAUGAGUGAUGCUACUAGCUAAGUUGGGGGGAGAGCCACGUUCACACCAAUUGAAAUCAAGAACACACCACACCC
rnacentral:lncRNA from 1 species